UAGAUGUUAAAUGCCCUAUAGUUCCUCAAAAAAUACAGUUAACUCUCAACUGAAAAUAUGCCUCAUUGUGUAUGAAUAGAGGUGAAUAAAUAUAUUUGUUUGUGUUGCAGCAAAGUAUCAGUUCUGGUUAAUGCCUAAAACAUUUGCCG